GAUAAACGCUAGCGGCAGGCUUAACACAUGCAAGUCGAGGGGCAGCAUAGAUUGUAGCAAUACAAUUGGUGGCGACCGGCGCACGGGUGCGUAACGCGUAUGCAACCUACCCGUCACAGGGGGAUAAUCCGGAGAAAUCUGCUCUAAUACCCCAUAACAUAUGGAUCGGCAUCGGUUCAUGUUGAAAUUUUCGGAGGUGACGGAUGGGCAUGCGUAGCAUUAGCUUGUUGGUGAGGUAACGGCUAACCAAGGCGACGAUGCUUAGGGGGACUGAUAGGUUUUCCCCCCACACUGGGACUGAGACACGGACCAGACUCCUACGGAGGCAGCAGUGAGGAAUAUUGGUCAAUGGGCGCAAGCCUGAACCGGCCAUGCCGCGUGCAGGAUGACGGCUCUAUGAGUUGUAAACUGCUUUUGUACGAGGGUAAAGUGGGUUACGUGUAACCUUUUGAAAGUAUCGUACGAAUAAGGAUCGGCUAACUCCGUGCCAGCAGCCGCAGUAA
rnacentral:rRNA from 1 species